rnacentral:rRNA from 1 species
GAUGAACGCUGGCGGCAUGCCUAACACAUGCAAGUCGGACGGGCAGUGGUGUUUCCAGUGGCGCUCGGGUUAGUAACGCGUGAGAACCUACCCCUGGGAUGGGAACAAUAUCUGAAAACGGCUGCUAAUACACCGCAGGCUGAGUAGCAAAAGGAGUAAUCCGCCGGAGGAGGGGCUCGUGUCUGAUUAUCUAGUUGGUGCGUCUAUAGCUUACCAAGGCGAUGGACAGUAGAGGUUGCGAGAGGACGAUCAGCCACACUGCGACGGAGACCAGGAGCAGGCUACUACGGGCAGCAGCCGUGGGGAAGUUUCAGCAAUGCGCGGAAGGCUGACAGAGCAAUGCCGCGUGAAAGUAGAAGGCCUACGGAUCGUGAACUUCGUUUGCCGGAGAAGAAGCAAUGACGGUAUCUGGGCAAUAAGCAUCGGCUAACUCUGUG